AUUAGGAUCUAAAUUUGGAAAACACUAAAGUGAACACAGUUCACACUACGCACAAAUCAAACGUGCUUCUCCUUCAACAGUGUGGUCACAGACUCUCUCACAGCCAGUCUCCGUCGCAGGCCGUCGCCGCCGGAAUCUUCCAGAUCAACACUUCCGUCGCCACUUUCCGCUGCCUCGUUGAUUCUCUUGGAACCGUUAAAGACACUCCCCACCACCGCCAGAAGCUGUACGCUUAAGUCAUUGAGUGAAUUUGAUCGCGAUGCUUCUAAUGCUAAUAGAUUAGUUCAACAUCAACUAACCCAACACCCCACUUCGGAGGAAUUGAGCAUUGGGAAGAUCAAGUUCAAAGCUUUCGAUUUGGUUAUCAAGUUUACUAUUACAAGUUUGCGGUUAUCUUGUUCAUGGUCAACUUUUGUCAUAAGCCUAUCAAAACCAAAGGUGCAUAAAGUUACUUUAUCAGCAAUACCAAAGUUCUGAGGAAGCAAGUGAAGCUGAUACGCAAGAUGUUCAAGCCACCAACAUUAAUACCGAUCUUCAUGGCAUGGGCUUUUUUCUGCAAGCAACCGGUCGCAGAACAAAUACAAGAUCUGAACUUGAUAGAUAUUUACAAGAAGAAUGCGAGCCAUACUCCCAUAAGUUCGAUAUACUAAACUGGUGGAAGGUCAACUCAACCCGAUUUCCAAUUCUUGGAAAUAUGGCUCGUGAGGUAUUGGCUAUACCUGUUUCUACGGUAGCUUCGGAGUCUGCAUUUAGUACUAGAAGAAGAGUCCUCGAUCCAUACCGUAGUUCCUUAACACCUAGAAUGGUAGAAGCUUAGUCUACACAGGAGAUUAGCUUAAGGAAGAUCUUUUCUCUGCUUUAGAUGAUGAUGGUGAAGUUCUUCAACAAGUUGAUCAAGAUCUAUUUUUCUCUAAUGAUGGUGCUUGUUCUAUGGUAGCAUCAAUUGAUAAUCAAGAUAAUCUUGAUGAUGACUAGGUAUGCUUAAUAUUCUCAUUUGGUUUAAUACUUUCAUUCAAAGAUUUGUUUUAAAAUGACAAAGGUAUAUUUUGUUAUUUGCAGAUAUAUUUUCCUCAAAGGUUGUGGUUGUUUGAUGAUUUUGUCGGCAACUUGGCAUAUCUUUUGAUACUUUGUGGUUGUUGUUUUAGAGAGAUUUUUUGGUGGUAUUCCUUUGAUGUCUUGAGAAUGAUUAAAUGUUAUAUAGAUUAGCUAUUGUUAUUGGAUUUAUAAAGAACCAAAUUCUAGUUGCAUUGUAA